UGUGGGGAGAUGGUGGGGGGGGAUGGGAGUUAGAGGCAGGGAGGAGGGGGGGAAGUUUCUCGGGGGAGGCAAAAAAAAGUUUUCUCUCCUCUGCAAAAGGCGGGCAGGGCGCCCUAAGUCCAAGGACAAUCCAUGGAAGUGUUCGCUUCUUCACAAGUUGUGCAAACGAUUUGUUAGUUCAUGAGCCUAAUUAGUGCGGGGAUCACAUAAACAGCUUCCUCCGAAGCCUGGUAAAUGGCUUGAUGAUUGGUCGCUAUUACUCGCCCUGAGGUGGAAGGGGGGAGACUCUUUAAAGUGCGUCAGAGAGAGGCGAGCGCCUGGGAACCCGGAGGCCUGGAUCCCGGCCGAGUGUGGAACGGAGUCGGCGCCGCUGCCUCGGCCGAGCCUCCUGCGCCCGCCAGGCCCCCCGCCUCCCCGCGCCUUCUCCCCGCGCUCCAAGCUCACUCGCUCCCGCGGCGGCCGCUGUGGCUUCUCCUCCUCCUCUUUCGCCUCCUCCUCUUCCUUCGGCCUCCUCUCCUCCUUCUCCUCCUCCUCCUCCUCCUCUUCCUCCUUCUCCUCCUCCUCUUCUUCCUCCUCCUCUUUCCCCACCUCCUCCCCUUCUGCCACCGCCUCCUCCUUCACCACCACCACUCCCUCCGGGGCAACCGGGUCCCUGCAGAGUCCCCGGCCCGCGCCGCCUCUGCUGCGGCCCCCUGGAUCCCGAACUGGUGGGACAGACGGACAGACGGACACGCAGAUCCCUCGCGCCCAGCUCUCGGUAGCUGCUGACCCCCGUGGCCCCGCGUCCGGGAAGCUGGGCUCGCCCCCGGAGCACCGCGAGGGUAAGCAGGCAGGGAUGGAUUCCGGGCGAGGGCUAACGGAGCUGUUCGGUUACAUCAGUCCCCACCUCCAGCGGAACUCCAGGCGGUUUCCCAGCGGUUGCAGUCUCCAGGCCUGGCUGCAUGGCGAGGCGAGGCGUCGGAACACGCACAGGAUGCCAAGCCUUCCAGAUGAAGAAUGGAUGACAGUGCCAACCAUGUGGACGUGGAGCUCCCCCAGAUGGGCUUUGGCACAUCUGGCCCAUCUGUAGUAUUUUCUCCAUCCAGGUGUUCACUUGGCAAGAAACUCCUAAUCCAGAAACCCUUGCAGCAAGGGGAUAAGUUUUUCUAAGCGGCGAAUGACUACAAACACAUCUGCAUUGACAAGUCACAACUUAUAUCCUUCUAUGGUGUUUCUGCUCUUUUGAAAAUGUUAAUAAAAACUUAAUGUGGAAAAAAAACA
ensembl:lncRNA